rnacentral:rRNA from 1 species
UACGGAGGGUGCGAGCGUUGUCCGGAAUCAUUGGGCGUAAAGGGCGCGUAGGUGGCCCCUCAAGCGUGCGGUGAAAGUCAGGGGCUCAACCCCUGAUCGGCCGUGCGAACUGGGGAGCUUGAGCACUGUAGAGGCAGGCGGAAUUCCGGGUGUAGCGGUGGAAUGCGUAGAGAUCCGGAAGAACACCGGUGGCGAAGGCGGCCUGCUGGGCAGUUUUGCUGACACUGAGGCGCGACAGCGUGGGGAGCAACAGG